GACGAACGCUGGCGGCGUGCUUAACACAUGCAAGUCGAGCGGUAAGGCCCUUUUGGGGGUACACGAGCGGCGAACGGGUGAGUAACACGUGGGUGACCUGCCCUCAGCUCUGGGAUAAGCCUGGGAAACUGGGUCUAAUACUGGAUAUGACCUUUCCUCGCAUGGGGUUGGGUGGAAAGUUUUUCGGCUGGGGAUGGGCCCGCGGCCUAUCAGCUUGUUGGUGGGGUGAUGGCCUACCAAGGCGACGACGGGUAGCCGGCCUGAGAGGGCGACCGGCCACACUGGGACUGAGACACGGCCCAGACUCCUACGGGAGGCAGCAGUGGGGAAUAUUGCGCAAUGGGCGGAAGCCUGACGCAGCGACGCCGCGUGGGGGAUGACGGCCUUUGGGUUGUAAACCUCUUUCGACCUUGACGAAGGCCUUUCGGGGUUGACGGUAGGGGUAGAAGAAGCACCGGCCAACUACGUGCCAGCAGCCGCCGCGGUAAG
rnacentral:rRNA from 1 species